UUUCCUGUAAUCCAUGAAGACCGUGAGCAGCUCUGACAUUGGCCGGGCACACAGAAAGGUGGUGAUCUAAUUAUAGAUGUUUAGACGCUGUAAAGUCCUCUGCAGUGUCCUGUUAAGUGGCCCUCCAUCAUACUUUCAAACAGAGAAAACAGAGACCACACCUCCUCAGCUGUCCUGACUUCCGGUGCCUUGAGAGGUAACCAUAGAGACGCACAGUUCUGCAUCACCAGCAAGAACUCUCUACUGCGCAGUUCACAGCCCUGUAACCGACUGCUAGAGAAAGCUAGUUCAAGCUGCUUUUUUUUUUAUAACCUCUUCAUUAUUAUCACGAAAAUUAUUAAGUUCCCUUUUCAUCUUUAGCUUUUUCUGCCUAUCCGCAGUUAGUGUCUUUAAGAAAAUCCUUUUUUUGUUUUUUGUUUUUUUUUCGGGGCAGUGGAGGCGCAUGUCUUUAAUCCCAGCACUUGGGAGACAGAGGCAGGCAGACUUCUGAGUUUGAGGCCAGCCUAGUCUACAGAGUCAUGGCAGAAAUGGUUUUGCUUGCUUCUAGAAGGGCCUGGGAGGAAGCAGGAAGCCAUCGGAUCCCCAUUUUCCCUUCAGCUCCUCUCAGCCUCAUAGCAUCAGCACCUGACAGGUCUCUGCUCGCCUCCCGCAGUCUCCCUGCCGCUGCUAGGCCUCCACCAGCUGCAUCUAUCUCAUUCUCCAGGUCCACAUUGCCUCAGGACACUUGCCUAAGGCUUUGCACGCACCUGGGAGACUCCUCCAGCCUUUGCCCUGACUAGGGCCUCAUGCUUGGUACUCUGGUCAUCAGACAUGGCUGAACCGGGGCUCCCCUCGUUCUCCAGCCCAUCGCUCAUGGCACACGGUGUGUUGUACUGAACAUCUCUUCUCAUCGUUGGGUAUGCGGGGUGGGGGUGGGGCGAGGGUGGGGGGAGUGUUGUUCGAGUUCUUUAAAAUUUGCAACAUUUUGCUCCUCUGUGUUUAUGUAAAAUAUAAUAACGAAUUCCUAGAAAAUUUCAAAAAAAUAAAUAAUAGGAACCGA